GGGCAAUUGCCCCGUUGCCCCCCUGGAUCCACCAGUGAUAUAUACAGCCCCUCUGUGUGCCUUUUUGUCUCCCCCCAGUCCCUCUGGGUGUUUCUUUCUCCCCCUCACUGAUCCUGUGUCCAUGUCUCCCCUCUCCUUCCCAGUCUCUCUUACCCCUCUUUCUCUUUCUCCCCCUCCCCUUGUGUGUCUCUCUCCUUUCUCCCUGUGUCUCUCUCUUCCACUGUUUCUUUCUCCCCCCCUUUCCCUGUGUCUCUCUCUCCCCAACAUCUCUCUUCCUCUGUGCAUCCUGUGCUGGGAAUUGUGGGAACCGCAAGGGAGCAUGAGAGAGAGACAUGUUCCUCCCUCCUUUCAUCCUCAGCAUUAGUGACAGGACAGGAGUACCACUGGACCAGCGAGGCUGCCACCCGGCCCGGUGGCUCCAGCGUGAAACGCGGCCGGCCCCCUCAGAGUGUGCCACCGGACCGCCCACCCGGUGGCACCUACUUGCUUAGCCCCCAGAUGCCACGGCCCCAGUGGGCCAAUCUGGCCCUACCGCUGGGCCCCCUGAUGGCUGCCCUGGCGACAGGCCCCCCUCCCAGCCGGUCCGAAGUGCCCGACCGGUCAGUCCGCCCCUUUAUCCAACAUGAUUAUUAUAGCUUAAACUUUGCAUUCAGAUCCCAAGUCACCACAAGUCACUAUUUUGUCAUUAGUCACUUUAAUUAGUUUGCAUAGUCAGCAUAAACUGUGUUAAAAAUGUAUGAAAUUAAAUCAUUGCCAAAAAAG